UACGUAGGUGGCAAGCGUUGUCCGGAAUUACUGGGCGUAAAGGGCGCGUAGGCGGCCAUCUAAGUCAGACGUGAAAUCCCCCGGCUUAACUUGGGAACUGCGUCUGAUACUGGACGGCUGGAGUUUGGGAGAGGGAUGUAGAAUUCCAGGUGUAGCGGUGAAAUGCGUAGAUAUCUGGAGGAAUACCGGUGGCGAAGGCGGCAUCCUGGACCAAUACUGACGCUGAGGCGCGAAAGCUAGGGGAGCAAACGGG
rnacentral:rRNA from 1 species